rnacentral:rRNA from 1 species
UACGGAGGGUGCAAGCGUUAUCCGGAUUCACUGGGUUUAAAGGGUGCGUAGGUGGGCAAGUAAGUCAGUGGUGAAAUCUCCGGGCUUAACCCGGAAACUACCAUUGAUACUAUUUGUCUUGAAUACUGUGGAGGUCAGCGGAAUAUGUCAUGUAGCGGUGAAAUGCUUAGAUAUGACAUAGAACACCAAUUGCGAAGGCAGCUGGCUACACAAAUAUUGACACUGAGGCACGAAAGCGUGGGGAGCAAACAGG